CGAAAGCGUGGGGAGCGAACAGGAUUAGAUACCCUGGUAGUCCACGCCGUAAACGGUGGAUGCUGGAUGUGGGGCCCGUUCCACGGGUUCCGUGUCGGAGCUAACGCGUUAAGCAUCCCGCCUGGGGAGUACGGCCGCAAGGCUAAAACUCAAAGAAAUUGACGGGGGCCCGCACAAGCGGCGGAGCAUGCGGAUUAAUUCGAUGCAACGCGAAGAACCUUACCUGGGCUUGACAUGUUCCCGACGGUCGUAGAGAUACGGCUUCCCUUCGGGGCGGGUUCACAGGUGGUGCAUGGUCGUCGUCAGCUCGUGUCGUGAGAUGUUGGGUUAAGUCCCGCAACGAGCGCAACCCUCGCCCCGUGUUGCCAGCGGAUUGUGCCGGGAACUCACGGGGGACCGCCGGGGUUAACUCGGAGGAAGGUGGGGAUGACGUCAGAUCAUCAUGCCCCUUACGUCCAGGGCUUCACGCAUGCUACAAUGGCCGGUACAACGGGAUGCGACGCGGCGACGCGGAGCGGAUCCCUGAAAACCGGUCUCAGUUCGGAUCGCAGUCUGCAACUCGACUGCGUGAAGGCGGAGUCGCUAGUAAUCGCGAAUCAGCAACGUCGCGGUGAAUGCGUUCCCGGGCCUUGUACACACCGCCCGUCAAGUCAUGAAAGUGGGCAGCACCCGAAGCCGGUGGCCUAACCCCUUGUGGGAUGGAGCCGUCUAAGGUGAGGCUCGUGAUUGGGACUAAGUCGUAACAAGGUAGCCGUACCGGAAGGUGCGGCUG
rnacentral:rRNA from 1 species